CCUACGGGAGGCAGCAGUGGGGAAUAUUGGGCAAUGGGCGCAAGCCUGACCCAGCAACGCCGCGUGAAGGACGAAGGUUCUCGGGUUGUAAACUUCUUUUAUCAGGGACGAAGCAAGUGACGGUACCUGAUGAAUAAGCCACGGCUAACUACGUGCCAGCAGCCGCGGUAAUACGUAGGUGGCAAGCGUUAUCCGGAUUUACUGGGUGUAAAGGGCGAGUAGGCGGGAUAGUAAGUCAGAUGUGAAAGCCAUGGGCUCAACCGGUGGCCUGCAUUUGGAACUGUUUUUCUUGAGUACUGGAGAGGCAGGCGGAAUUCCUAGUGUAGCGGUGAAAUGCGUAGAUAUUAGGAAGAACACCAGUGGCGAAGGCGGUCUGCUGGACAGCAACUGACGCUGAGGCGCGAAAGCGUGGGGAGCAAACAGGAUUAGAUACCCUGGUAGUC
rnacentral:rRNA from 1 species